rnacentral:rRNA from 1 species
UACGUAGGGGGCGAGCGUUAUCCGGAUUUACUGGGUGUAAAGGGAGCGCAGGCGGCGUGGCAAGUCAGAUGUGAAAACCCGGGGCCCAACCCCGGGACUGCAUUUGAAACUGCCAUGCUGGAGUGCUGGAGAGGCAAGUGGAAUUCCUAGUGUAGCGGUGAAAUGCGUAGAUAUUAGGAGGAACACCAGUGGCGAAGGCGGCUUGCUGGACAGUAACUGACGCUGAGGCUCGAAAGCGUGGGGAGCAAACAGG